GAUGAACGCUAGCGACAGGCCUAACACAUGCAAGUCGAGGGGUAACAGGGAUUAAGCUUGCUUAAUUUGCUGACGACCGGCGCACGGGUGAGUAACGCGUAUGCAACCUGCCUACAACAGGGGGAUAGCCCGGAGAAAUUCGGAUUAAACCGCCAUAAAAUAAGAAACCGCAUGGGAUUUUAUUAAAAAGUGAUGGUAGUAGAUGGGCAUGCGUUCCAUUAGCCAGUUGGUGAGGUAACGGCUCACCAAAGCAACGAUGGAUAGGGGAACUGAGAGGUUUACCCCCCACACUGGAACUGAGACACGGACCAGACUCCUACGGGAGGCAGCAGUGAGGAAUAUUGGUCAAUGGGCGAGAGCCUGAACCAGCCAAGUCGCGUGAAGGAUUACAGCCUUAUGGGUUUUAAACUUCUUUUAUUUGGGAGUAAAAAGAGAUAUGUAUAUCUCCUUGCAAGUACCAAAAGAAAAAGCAUCGGCUAACUCCGUGCCAGCAGCCGCCGUAACAC
rnacentral:rRNA from 1 species